UGAAUGUGCUCGUGACAUCAUAUGCUUGU
rnacentral:piRNA from 1 species